GAUGAACGCUGGCGGCGUGCCUAAUACAUGCAAGUCGAGCGAACGGACGAGAAGCUUGCUUCUCUGAUGUUAGCGGCGGACGGGUGAGUAACACGUGGAUAACCUACCUAUAAGACUGGGAUAACUUCGGGAAACCGGAGCUAAUACCGGAUGAUAUUUUGAACCGCAUGGUUCAAAAGUGAAAGACGGUCUUGCUGUCACUUAUAGAUGGAUCCGCGCUGCAUUAGCUAGUUGGUAAGGUAACGGCUUACCAAGGCAACGAUGCAUAGCCGACCUGAGAGGGUGAUCGGCCACACUGGAACUGAGACACGGUCCAGACUCCUACGGGAGGCAGCAGUAGGAAUCUUCCGCAAAGGGCGAAAGCCUGACGGAGCAACGCCGCGUGAGUGAUGAAGGUCUUCGGAUCGUAAAACUCUGUUAUUAGGGAAGAACAUAUGUGUAAGUAACUGUGCACAUCUUGACGGUACCUAAUCAGAAAGCCACGGCUAACUACGUG
rnacentral:rRNA from 1 species